UUUGGCAAUGGUUGCUGCCUUCAUGGUAGCUUGGACGCCUUAUGCCAUACUUGGUGUGUAUGUUAUGGUCGAUAAAAAUGUGCCAGCUUGGAUUUUGCUGACACCAACGAUGUUUGCAAAAAGCAGCACUGUUCUAAGUCCGUUAUCCUGUGCCUUGUUCAGUGGUAGUUUCCGAACAGCUGCAAAACAGAUUUUUUGCAAAAACGAAGAAGUAUUGGAAGAAGUACAGAAUGGAAAUGUUCUUCGCCCUCUUGCUUCAAAUCCUUCUUCUCCGACGUUUGUUCAAAGAGAGGUACGUGUGACACUGUACAAAGGAGAAUUAAAAAUCAACGAUAUUUUUGUUGGAAAUUUCGACAAUAUGGAGUUAUAGGAAUAAAAUACAUUAAUGGACCAGCAUUUCACGUAGAGCUGAAUGUUCCUGAUUUUGCUCACAGGACCGAGAGUCAAUCAGCUCAUUUAUUAUUUGAUUGUUUAUAUUUGUGGCUGGGUUAAUUUUCAAACGAGGCCUCUAUUGGAGCUACAAAAGCAAAUCCUUUUAGGAUAAUACUAGAAAUAUACUUGAAAUCCUCAGUUAGCGAAAACAUUGAAAGACCAUUUUCAAUUUGUUAUAAAAGAUAUGAAAAGGGACUGAACCAAGGUUUUAAUGUUGUUGUCUUUUUAUGACAGAUUUUCAGCGAUUGUCGUUUGUUGCUGCACAUGUAUGUCCAUUUAUCAUUUUUUAAAUUGGUUUGGCAUUAAAUAGACCGUUGAUGUGCUUCACAUUUUGUCAUGUUGGAGCCUUUUAUAGCUGACUAUACGAUAAGAAUUUUGCUCAUUGUUGAAUGUGGUAAUUUAUAGUUGGUAACAUGCAUUUUAUUUGGAUUCUGGGAUUUGUCUCAUCUGGGUUUCAUACCACGUUUCCUUAUCUUUAUAUGAACAGACUAUAUAUGUAAUAUACAACAGUAAAAUGACGCUGUUCCUUUGCUUUUUGUGUGAUUUUUGCUGUACAUGUACUGAUUUUGUGUCAUGGAUGGAUGAAUACCCCAUAUCCUUUGUUUUUCUAAGACAUACAUAAACAAUGAUAUUUUUGUUUACCUUUCUUGUGCAUAACGUAUUUAUAUAACUGACAACGUUUGUCGUGCUAGACAGUAUCAUUUUGUUUGAUUAUCGUGUAUUAUAUAUAUCAUUAUAUUCUAUGUAUGUAUGUUAGUUCCAAAUAAGUGUAAAAAGUAGAGCAUUAAAAUGGUGUAGUACACAGCCCAAGAAUGUAACAUUUAUGUCUUUUUAAGAUAAUAAAUGAACAUUGUUUUACGAGAAGCAUAUUUUGUUUUGGGGGAAUUGCAUGGCCAUUUAUCAUUCUUACCAAUCAAAAGCAGGGGAAAUUUUAUUUUGAGAUAUGUUAUAUACCAAUUAUGUCAUUCAACUUAAAAAUAAAAGUUAUCGCUUUUCAAUAAACCACUUUGAAAGCUCA